rnacentral:rRNA from 1 species
GACGUAGGGCGCGAGCGUUGUCCGGAUUUAUUGGGCGUAAAGAGCUCGUAGGCGGCUUGUUGCGUCAGCUGUGAAAACCCGCAGCUCAACUGUGGGCUUGCAGCUGAUACGGGCAGGCUUGAGUUCGGUAGGGGAGACUGGAAUUCCUGGUGUAGCGGUGAAAUGCGUAGAUAUCUGGAGGAACACCGGUGGCGAAGGCGGCAUCCUGGACCGAUACUGACGCUGAGGAGCGAAAGCCAGGGGAGCAAACGGG